UACAUUGUAAUAGAACCAACGGGACCCAUUACAUUGCAAUAGAACCUCUGUUAUAUGGCCCAUUUCAUUGCAAACACUCAAGACAAACAAGAAACUAGUAUAGUAGUAUCUUUUCUUUUCUUCUUCUUGGGUGAAAGUACCAGCACGUACUCUUUCCCUUCCUGUAGCAGAGAUGGUUCCUUCACAUGCUUAUUGUACUUGGAAGCAUGGAAGGCCUGAAAUCCCUCAGAGAUUAGGUGUCUUCUUUUUCCCCAAAAAUUAGGGAUUUUUGCCUAGAAAAGUGGCCAACCGUUUGAUUUUAUUCAUUUGUAAUGGAAUUGGUUUUGCAGCCAUCCAAUUUUCCCAUGAACACCAUAAUUCUAAAUCAUAUUUUCAGGGAUUUGAUGUGAUAGACAUUAAGUGAGUAGUUAUUUAGGUUUUUAGGUUUUAAAAAGGAAAAGAAAGGGAAGUGCCCAUAUAAAGGGUGUAUUUCUUUCUCUGAAGACCUUGUGUUUGGAAGGGAGCUUCUUCUGCCUCUAGCUUUGACCUAUUUCUUCAACUAAAGCUGGCUAUUCUAUUUGGCGUGCAUCUUUUGCUCCAACAAGUUGGCAUAUACAGUUCUCAGAUAAGCAUGGCAGGACGCUACCUUCCAGUGAAUGAGGCCGCUGAGGGAGUAAAAGGAUGGACAGUACUAGCUCAGGUUGUUGAGAGAGGACAUAUUCAGUUGAGUCAAGAAGCAAGGCUUGUGAACUACCACCACUUCCUUCUCACAGAUUCUGAGGGAACAAAGGUUUCAGUAGUCAUCUAUGGCAAAGAUAUCCGUUUUUUUUGCUGCUAUGUUGAUGCCAUCCAAGAGAUACUAUAUCUCCAGUACAGCUCUUUGCAAAGCAGAACCAAGGUAUAAGGUCAAUGACUACCCAUAUUCUUGGGUAAUCCAUAACAGAACGUUGGUUGAUGAGUGUGUGGAGCAGGUUUCGCCGGUAAUUCCGUGUCACUUUGAGCUCACAGCAUUUGAAAACUUAUUCAGAUUUACUAACAGAAAAUUUACAAAAUAUCCAGGGUAUUGUCGUGCAUGCUUUUCCUUCAAGGGAAUAGGGUCUUGAUUCAAUGACCAGAGACUUGGUUGUUAUUAAUUAAGAAAAAAGGCCAAUGCUCCUUACUCUGUGGAACGAAUUUGAAGCAAAUGAAGGAGCACAGCUGGCAAACACUAUCGCAAACAACAACAUCAUCAUAGCUAUGAGAGUCAAAGUAAUAACUUUUAACUACUUGCAAGUUGUCUGCUGGUCAAUCCACCAACUCCUCAAGCCACUGUAUUAAGGCAAUGGUAUGGUCAGAAUCGGCAGGAAAUUGCACAACUAAUUGAGGAGGCCAGUUACAAAGACUCAACCAAAUUGCUGCCUCCGCCUAAAAAUAAUGAUAUCAUUAGUGUUGAGAAUGCUGUGAGCAUGCUGAAAAAUGUCGACCCGCUUCUGGUAUGCUGCAUGUAGUAACUAUUAAAAGGCUGUAGAUGCUAAUUUGGAAUGAAUCAUCAGAUGUCCGUCUUACAGAGAAGAAAGUGCCGUUGAAGCUAGGUAAACAAGGCAUGCAAUUUUACAAUAGUGCUCUUAACAAUAAUUCUGUUUUAUUUUAUUGUUUAACCAUUAUUCACUACUAUCAUAUCCUAGAUGCUGUAUUGGAAUUAUCAUUGA